UUUGCAAGUAUUGUUUGGGCUGCAAAUAAUUAUUUGCUUCAAAUUAUUAUUCUUCAAAAAAAUUUCAAUACUGGAGCUUUAAAUAACGAGGACCUAUUUUAGUUGUUCCUGAAUAUAAUGGCGGAAAAGGAGAAAGAAAAUGAGAAUGCGAAUAGCGAUGCAGACUCAAAUAGCAUAGAAGAAGAAGCGGAACCGAAGUUUAAAUAUAAAAGACUUGAGAAUAAUGUGAAGGAAAUAUUAAAUAAAGAUGUUGUUACAUGUUGUGCAGUACACUCAAAGUUUCUGAUAUUUGGUACUUUUUUGGGACGUGUCUAUUUGUUAGAUCACAAAGGAUACGCUGUUAAAUCCAAUCUUACAGAUGGUGUAACUAAUUUUACUCAUACCGUAGCUGUGAAUCAUAUUGAUGUUGAUGUAAAAGGCAGCUAUGUGGCAUCCUGCUCCGAUGAUGGCCUGGUUCGCAUAACUGGCCUUUUUAGCGAUGAGAAUAAUUAUGACUUAAAUAUUGGCAAAUCAAUAAAAGCCGUAGCUUUAGAUCCAGAUCCAAAGUCAGCUGCUAUAAAAAGAUUUAUUAUUGGUGAUGACAAGCUGACGCUAUACGAAAGAAACUUUCUAAAGAAACUAAAAUCAACUGUGCUAAGUACAGCGGAAGGAUACGUACUUGCGGUGUGUUGGAGUGGUAAUUUUGUAGCUUGGGCCAGUUACGUAGGUGUACAUGUUUACGAUUUAAAUGAAAAGUGUUCACUAGGUUUAAUGAAGUGGGAGCAACCAAUAAAUGCUCGGCUGGAGAAUUUUCGUUGCAAUUUUCGCUGGGCAAACUCAACUACAUUACUUAUUGGUUGGGUCGAUACAAUACGCGUAUGUGUCAUACGUAAACGAAAUGCAAUUGACGCUAUAUCCAGAGUAUUGCCAGUAUUUAUUGUUGAUCCUAUUUCAACAAUUCCAACAACAUUUUAUAUAUGUGGCCUAGCUCCUUUAUCAAAGGAACAAUUAGUUGUGCUAGGUUAUCCCAAAGAAAAGGAUGCUAACCGUAAAGCAUUGCGUCCAGUAUUAUGUGUAAUGGACUAUAAAAAAAAUAAUAGUGGAGAAAUGUGUACGGAUAGCCUAUCGUUACGUGGCUAUCAAGAAUACACGGUUAAUGAUUAUAGUUUAAGUUGUUUAUUAGAAGAAAAUCGUUUUAUUAUUGUUGCACCAAAGGAUAUCGUUGUAGCUAGCCCUUACGAUACGGAUGAUCGUGUGCAAUGGCUGAUUGAACAUCGAAAAUUUGAAGAAGCUAUGAAUGUCAUAACGAAUUAUGGCGGAAAAUUAUCGCUACUUACAGUGGGCAGGCUUUACAUAAAUUAUUUAUUAUCACUGAAACGUUACGAUGAAGCGGCGAAGCUUUGUUUGCAUGUUUUGGGCAAUAAAAAGGCAUUAUGGGAAGAAGAAAUCUAUAAAUUCGUUAAGUGUCAACAACUGCGUUCGGUAAGUGCUUAUUUACCCACACUGAAGGAGUGUAAAUUGGAAGCGUAUGUCUAUGAAAUGGUUUUAUUUGAAUUUUUAAAAUUCGACCCAAAAGGGUUUCUCAAUCUGAUUAAAAAUUGGCCCUCACAUUUAUACGAUUGCACAGCAGUCAUAAAUGCAAUAUACUCCAAUUUUCGUAAAGAAAACAGCAAUGAGUUACUGGAAGCACUAGCAAUAUUACAUAUAUAUAAAAAAGACUACGAGAAUGCAUUAAAAAUGUAUCUCAAAUUAAUGAAUAAAGAUGUUUUCAUACUUAUAAGUAAAUAUGAUCUCUACAGUACUAUACACAAAAGAAUUAUACCGCUUAUAGAGUUAGACGAAGAAUGUGCCUUUAAAUUAUUAGUCGACAAAGAAAAGAUACCGCCUGAAGUAGUUGUUGAGCAGCUGGAACAAAAUCAGGAAUAUUUAUUUCGUUAUCUUAAGGCGUUAGACAGAGUUGAUAAACGCGGUACAUUUCAUUCCAAACUUGUACAAUUAUAUGCGAAAUUUGAACGAGAUCAACUUCUACUCUUUUUAAAACGCUCAAAUCAUUAUGCCAUACAAGAAGCCCUCGAUAUAUGUAAGCGUAAACUGUUUUAUCCAGAAAUGGUGUAUUUACUAGGUCAAAUGGGUAACACAGCCGAAGCCUUAAAUAUUAUUAUAGACAAGAUCAAAGAUAUUGAAAUGGCUAUUGAGUUCUGUAAAGAACAUGAUGAUUCAGAUUUGUGGAAUGUUUUAAUAGACGAGUCCGUUAAUAACCCUGAAAUUGUAACAAAAUUAUUAGAUGGAAUUGUAGGUUAUGUCAAUCCUGAAGCUGUAGUUAAUAAAAUCAAAGCUGGACAAAAAAUUCCUGGUCUACGCUCAGCUGUUGUAAAAAUGCUGUGGGAGUAUCGUUUACAGCUAAAAGUUCUUCAAGGGUGUAGUAAAAUGCAAUUAUGUGACUAUUAUAAAAAUCAUGCAGAACUGAUACAGCAACAAAGGCGUGGUCUAAGUGUCACAUAUAACAACAAAUGUGAAAUAUGUCAGCGGUUGCUUGUAAACAAAGAUACUAUUCCGCACAAUGCAGUCAUCACAUUCAACUGUGGACACUGUUUUCAUGAAACCUGCGUGUCCGGUCGCUAUAUUAGUGAGUGCUGCCAUCGAUGUAAAUAUUCAGACGAAGAUGAUAAUAAUCAAUAGUUUAAGAGAGUCAUUAUGUCAAAUAUAACACUACAUUCUUAUUGUUAGUCCAGAUUAGCAAAUGACCUAUCCGCUUCAGAAAUAUGUACCGUUCAAAGUCACACUUCCUUGACGAUGAAAGGCCUUAUGCAAUUUCCACAGCACUUUAACAACUCAGCAUGAGAAACGUACGAACCUAUGUCCCGAAAACUGACAAGACAUAAAACUAAACUGGUAUAGUUAUCGCAAAACUUUUGAACGCUAUUUCGUUAAUUCAGCUAUGCUCGCUGAUAUAAAUAAGCCGAAUAAAGAAUUUAACAGGAUAAUAAUUCAAUUCAUAGCAAUUUCUGAUAGUAUGAUUCAGCUACAGAGUUAAAAUUUUCUGUGUUAUGCUGUAACCUUUGCGAAUUGUGCGACCGUCUUUGCAAAAAAAAAAAACUAAUCCAUGCUCAAUCACUCUAUCUCCACCCUUCACAAAACGAUUGUGAAUUAAAGCAUCAUCCAACCUUCAUUGCUCGAUAAAUAUGCGAUAAGCUUCCAAAGGAUGAUCACUGCAGAUGCCCAGUAUUCCUCAAAGCAACUUUUCCGUUUCCUUGUGCUCAAUAUAGAUGCAUUCCCUGAAACACACUAACAGAAACGCAAACUUCGGAAAUUAGACAACACCAUAUAAUGUUUCCCUGACGAUGUGAGAAAUGUAAUCAAAAAAAUGCUUCGGAAAUCCUAUAAGCCUUUUGCAAAAGGACUUUUUCAAACUGUUAUACAGGCACAGUUUUGGGCACUUAAUCUUAUUUCUAUUU